GACGAACGCUGGCGGCGUGCUUAACACAUGCAAGUCGAGCGGUAAGGCCCUUUCGGGGGUACACGAGCGGCGAACGGGUGAGUAACACGUGGGUGACCUGCCCUCAGCUCUGGGAUAAGCCUGGGAAACUGGGUCUAAUACUGGAUAUGACUCCGCGGUGCAUGUCGUGGGGUGGAAAGCCUGUGCGGCUGAGGAUGGGCCCGCGGCCUAUCAGCUUGUUGGUGGGGUGAUGGCCUACCAAGGCGACGACGGGUAGCCGGCCUGAGAGGGCGACCGGCC
rnacentral:rRNA from 1 species